rnacentral:lncRNA from 1 species
GGAAGUCCCGCCUGCGGCUCCCAGACCCCAGCCCUUUGCAGCCUCUCUGAGUCCCCCAUCGCCGCCUCUGAGCUCUCCCGUCGCCCUCCCGCCAAUCCCUACUCGGUUUUGCUGCCUUCUAUCCCUCCACCCCCAGCAACGCCCAGCUCCCAAGCCUCUUGGCCGGCCCGCCCUGCGACCCCCCAGUUCCCCGCUUACGGACCUUGGGAUCUCCGCUGCCGCCGCCGUCGCUGCCACCGCCUGCUGUGCCCGACCCGCCGCUUGCCUCUCUCUGCCGUUCGCCCUGGGACGGGCGGACGGAGCUCGGCUCCGGCGGGCUCAGACCUCCCUGCUCGAUUCUCGGGCGCGGGGGUCUGUGCUCCGCCGCCCGGGAUCUGCCCGGGAGCCGUCCUGGAGCCCCAGGGCCGCGGCGAGCGGGCUCUUGGCCCGGCUAGGGAGAGGCCACUGCGUUGCGCUCUGGUAAGGGCCGCCGCGGCCGCCGCGAACUUAACUUUCACAGAGCAGGUCGCAGCCCCGCUGCUCCCUCCGCGUCAGUUCGGUCCGCGCUGCCUCAGCGCGGCCGCCCUUGCGGCGUCCGGCUCGGCUUGCUGUCCCCGGGCGAAUCGCCUGACUCUCCCGCUCGGGUGCCGGCUCCCUCCGCAUCAGGCCCCGACGGGACAGGGAUCCUCGGGCUGCCGCGCACCACGGGAACGCUUUGUACUUGGAUGCCCAAAGCUAAUUCUCUGUGCUCUCUCGGCCUUGAGAACCUCCACGUUUAGAGGGCCGGGACAGAAUACUACCACCCCCAGGCUUGCGGGGAAUUUGGGAGCAGGGAUGUUCAAUAUGAGGGCACUGUCCAUAGAUUCUCUAUUCGGGGAGCUCAAAAACUAACGCCCUAGGGGUUGCAAGUCUCUGCACACUGGGUAGGGAGAAGAAGGGGUGGCUUACCAGAAUUCCGGAGCUUCUUGUUCUUCGUCACAGCCAAAAUGACCAUGGAGUUGCCGAUUAGGUCUACAACGAUGGUGAUAACCAUCGCGCAGAACAUAAAGAUGAUUAGAGCCGGAAACUCAGGACGAGAGGCUCUGACGCCUCUCCCUCUCGGGAUGCUCGGCAUUCUCUACUGAGCGGCACGGGGCAGUCAGGAAGGCUGAAGGAGCUGCGCCGCAGCCGCGGGAAAGGUGCGGAGGUGUCACGCGGCUAAACCAAGAAGCCUCUGGCUGACCGGCGAUCCCUGCCUCAGUCAGGAUUCCUCUCGGUCUUUCUCCUUUCCCAUGCCCUUCUGGGGUUCUCGUUUCGACCCCAUCCCUCUCAGGCCUCCCCCCUCGCCCUCCACACCGCGGAUCUCUGUCCCCGUGCGUCACAGUUCCCCUGCGGUGCGCCCAGGAUCUCGCUCCGCGGGGACCACGGAAAAUUCGAAUAUUCGGGCAAAACUAAAGGGGCGUGAUUCGGACACUCGUUCCCUCAAUAACCUUGGUCACGGGAAUGGAUUUCUGCCGGCUACUAAAAGUUACGGCUCCUGUCGAGAAGCCUUUCAAAA